CCUACGGGAGGCAGCAGUGAGGAAUAUUGGUCAAUGGACGAGAGUCUGAACCAGCCAAGUAGCGUGAAGGAUGACUGCCCUAUGGGUUGUAAACUUCUUUUAUAUGGGAAUAAAACAGGGUAUGCAUACCCUCUUGUAUGUACCAUAUGAAUAAGGAUCGGCGAACUCCGUGCCAGCAGCCGCGGUAAUCCGGAGGAUCCGAGCGUUAUCCGGAUUUAUUGGGUUUUAAGGGCGCGUAGGUGGAUUGUUAAGUCAGUUGUGAAAGUUUGCGGCUCAACCGUAAAAUUGCAGUUGAAACUGGCAGGCUUGAGUACAGUAGAGGUGGGCGGAAUUCGUGGUGUAGCGGUGAAAUGCGUAGAUAUCACGAAGAACUCCGAUUGCGAAGGCAGCUCACUGGACUGCAACUGACACUGAUGCUCGAAAGUGUGGGUAUCAAACAGGAUUAGAUACCCUUGUAGUC
rnacentral:rRNA from 1 species